rnacentral:lncRNA from 13 species
AGCAUGUUAUUUAAAAGAAAAUGUAAUUCUUUGACAACUAUUCAGGUGAUGUUAAUGUGUAGAAAACACAGUCAAUACUGAACCAUACAUUUUUCCUUACAGCUGGCAGAGAAAGCCAUUAGGGAAGCUGUGCACACAGUUCUGACAGAUGGACGCCAUGGGGAGUUUUCAAGCCUAAGAAUAAUGGAGCUGAAAUGCAUUGAUAUGUCGAAGACACCUAAAGCCCAAUCAACCUUGGAGUCCAUUCAGCUGCCCAAAGACAGUGAUGACAGCUUGAAAUCAGGAUCCUGUGAAGACUCCUUGAUUGCUGAACCUCAUGCUGACCAAGUUGACACCAUCAAGGCAUCUAUGAACACUGAAAUCCACUCAGUGGUUACUAAGGCCACAGUGGUCUAUGCUAACCAACCUGAGGCACUGUCCAGUGAAGUGCUUCUGGGCACUGAAGGUAAUGGAUAUGUUGCUGACCAUGCUGUGGUGGGUUCUCUGACUCCAGACUGUGACCUGGCAUUGGUAGAAGGGCUGGACCCUGGGUGGCACACUGCCCUGGUACUGAUGGAGACCUUAGUGAAUCCUGGCAAUGACUCUGACCUGACUCUGUCUGACUCCAGUGAAGUGUCACUGAUCACUGACGACCUGCCAGUGGUGGACUCAGCUGUUGACUCCAGAGGGCAGCAGAGGGCAGAGGAUGACUUGCAAAGCACUGACCAGCUGCUAACGCACUAUACUGUACCGUUUGAGGACUCUUUGAACUCUGACAAGGAAAUCUCCCUCAACAUUAAAGACCAUGAUGACCGACCUGCAGUAGACUUUAGCAGAGAUUCUGUGAGCUCGUCUGACCAGUCUUUGUCCCUUGUUGCCACUGCUCUUGGAUCAAUAGUCACUAUGGACUCUUUCAAUAAGGCUCUGUUGUUUUCCAAUAUGUUGGACCAAGGCAAAGAUAACCCUAUUGACCAGCCUGUAGUGAAGUCUCAGACCACUGAAAAUCUAAUUAAUCCCACUUUGGUGUCAGAGUCCAUUCAACCUCUCGUCAAUGAAAUCCUGGAAGAUAACAUUAUCUCAGCCCCUGAUGACAGAACUCUGUUCACUACAGACCAUGUAGGAUCACAUGAGAUUGUAAUAUUUAUAUCUAGAAUGCACUUAGGCAGUGUCAUCACCUGUCAUGAUGACCAGUUUUUGGAGUCAGACCGUGAGGAUGACAUGGUUGACCCUUUGUCUCACACCAGUCAUAGCCAUCAUCUGUGCGAGUCAGUCAUGAGGCCCAAAGGUCAAGUCCAACUCAGUGGACAUACUUGGUCACCCUCUUAUGAGACUGAUGACUGCCGUCGCUAUGCUCAAGACCACAACAUGAUGGAAUACAAAUUCAAAUACAGCUGGGACCUAAAGUCUGCAUGGGUUUCUGUGCCACACUACAUUCUGACGAGAGGGGAGAGUGUGACCAAUAGGAUGGAGGGAGAGAAGAAGUAUGGAGAAAAGGAAUGGGAGAAGUGCUCCUCACAGUGUGACAAGAACUCUCUGAUUGGUGAGUAUUGUGAUAAUUAUGUAGUUGAUUAUAUUUCUAUACAUAUUUUGACCACAGGAAAGGGUAGCCUAUGUUUCCAUGUUACUACAAGGUAGAUUAAAUAGAUUAAAUUGAAUCCAACAUUUUAAUUAUUGUGAUUCUUGGUGUAAAUCUAGAUUACAGGUAUGUAUUGAUUGGAUUUACAUUUUCCCUCUCGCUCUUUAGAGCAUAAUGGACAGUGGAGGAUAGCCAGAGCAGUAGAGGCAGACACUGAAGAAAUCCUUCCCAAGCCGUACAUGAGAGACUUAGUUAUGUACGAUGGAUUCCACCAGCUAAAUGAGGAGAGAGUGGGAAAUCAGCUGGUCCUCUCCUCUCUCUCAAGGGCUCUCAAUGAAGUUAAGAAGGACAAGGCUUUUUGGAGGUCAUUGAGAGAGGGGAUCAAUAAAUUAAUGAGAGAAAACGAGAUAAUUAAAGAUGAGAUGAAAAAGAAAGACAUGAGGAACUUUAACAGUGCCAAAGAUCGAAGGGCAGAGAGAAAGAGGGCAAGGAGGAGGGAGCGAGAGCGGGAGAGGAACUGUGAUUUGACCACAUGGAUGCCCUCCCGGUCCGGAAUGGAAAGUUCCAUUAUAGGACUCCGUCCCAGGCCUCCGUCCCGGCCACUGCUCAGAGAACCAGUCUUAGCCAGAACCAGCUUCAGCCGCACCGACGCCAGAACGAUAGAGGUUAGGGAGAUGAUCCUGCAAAGGAGCCGCAUUGCCUACAAGAUCAAGUGCCUGCAACGCCAGAAAGCGGCUGCUGAGGGGUUGACACUGACUGAGGGAGGUGGAGGGCCUGAGGAUGGGGGUGACGGAGAGACAGUGAUGGACAUUACAGGGCAAAGUAAGAAAGCCUCAAAGGGCAAGGGGUCAAAGGGCAAAGAGAGUGGAGGAGGGGAAGGUAGUGACUGGGCCAAAUUAGGUCUGGAGGAAAUUGUGGAGACAGAUGACAGGAAUAAAGAGAAGAGAACCAAAGUACGGACAGGGCAGAGAAGUAAGGACAAGCGAAGAGAGGAACGAGAGAGACAAAGAUGUAGUAAGGAAACAGAUUUGAUCUCAGACGAAUUAGCAAGAAUGGACAUAGAAAAAAUAGAUGGACAUAAAGUGGAUGAGACGAUUAGCAAGAUCUCUGAGGAAAAUAUUUCGAACUGUUGUGUAGAGACAAAUGAGGGAGAAAAAUAUGAUAGAAAACAGAUUAAAGAAAAGACGAACAGAACAAAUGUACAUACUGAUGAGGGAGUGAUGAGCAAAGCAUCAUGGGAAAGAGAGGAGAAUAAUAAGACAUUUCAAGAGAGCUUAAAAGUCCAGGGUAAGAGCAUAACAUUCAAGUUAAUGAUAAGUAUAAUGUGUCAUAAAUCUAAUUUUAUUUGUCACAACAGGUGACAAACCUUACACAACCUUACAGUGAAAUGCUUACUUACAAGCUCUUAACCAACAGUGCAGUUAAAAAAAAAUACCAACACAAAAAAAAGAUAAGAAUAUUGACCUAAGGAUAUAUUUAAAGAACAGCAGUGAAUAACAAUAUCGGGGCUAUAUACAGGGUGUACCAGUUCAGAGUCAAUGUGUCAACACCGG